rnacentral:lncRNA from 1 species
UUUAAGUGAGUGUUUGAUCCAAUGCGAAUGUUUCUCUUUCAUGAUGUAUCGAAACCAAGUCAAUCCAAUACAAGAUGUAUCGAAAAAGACAAGAAUGAAUACAAAAUUACAACGGAAGAAUAUCAAAAAACGGUAUGCACAUAACAGUUGAUAAGCAAUUUAAAAAAUUUAAUGUUCAGAAUUUGUAAUCAUAAUCGAAAGUAACAUAUUCCGACUUUAAUGAUCAAAACAACUAAAAUUUUACCCUUUCAGAUAACAC